rnacentral:rRNA from 1 species
AGAGUUGACUCCGUGCUCAGGACGAACGCUGGCGGCGUGCUUAACACAUGCAAGUCGAACGGAAAGGCCCUUCGGGGUGCUCGAGUGGCGAACGGGUGAGUAACACGUGGGUGAUCUGCCCUGCACUUUGGGAUAAGCCUGGGAAACCGGGUCUAAUACCGGAUAGGACUACGAAUCGCAUGGUUUGUGGUGGAAAGCUUUUGCGGUGUGGGAUGGGCCCGCGGCCUAUCAGCUUGUUGGUGGGGUGAUGGCCUACCAAGGCGACGACGGGUAGCCGGCCUGAGAGGGUGUCCGGCCACACUGGGACUGAGAUGCGGCCCAGACUCCUACGGGAGGCAGCAGUGGGGAAUAUUGCACAAUGGGCGCAAGCCUGAUGCAGCGACGCCGCGUGAGGGAUGACGGCCUUCGGGUUGUAAACCUCUUUCGGUAGGGACGAAGCGUAAGUGACGGUACCUAUAGAAGAAGCACCGGCCAACUACGUG